AGGGGGGGCAAGCGUCGUUCGGAAUUACUGGGCGUAAAGGGUUCGUAGGUGGCCACUUAAGUCAGACGUGAAAUCCCUCAGCUUAACUGGGGAACUGCGUCUGAUACUGAGUGGCUUGAGUGCAGGAGAGGAAUGCGGAAUUCCAGGUGUAGCGGUGAAAUGCGUAGAUAUCUGGAGGAACACCGGUGGCGAAGGCGGCAUUCUGGACUGUAACUGACACUGAGGAACGAAAGCCAGGGGAGCAAACGGGAUUAGAUACCCCGGUAGUCCUGGCCCUAAACGAUGAAUGCUUGGUGUGGCGGGUAUCGAUCCCUGCCGUGCCGAAGUUAACGCGAUAAGCAUUCCGCCUGGGGAGUACGGUCGCAAGGCUG
rnacentral:rRNA from 1 species